GUAGUUCAUUUUCUAAUACAAUGUAAGCCAAAUUAUUUCCCUGGGCGCAUGCCUGUACAGAGCGUAUUGAUAAGACUAGACGUAGGGCUGUGUAGAGAAUUGUCACUGUGACCAGACAAGAGCGCAGACCUUCAAAACUUGAUGGUGUAGUUCAUUUUCUAAUACAAUGUAAGCCAAAUUAUUUGCCUGGGCGCAUGCCUCUACAGAGCGUAUUGAUAAGACUAGACGUAGGGCUGUGUAGAGAAUUGUCACUGUGACCAGACAAGAGCGCAGACCUUCAAAACUUGAUGGUGUAGUUCAUUUUCUAAUACAAUGUAAGCCAAAUUAUUUGCCUGGGCGCAUGCCUCUACAGAGCGUAUUGAUAAGACUAGACGUAGGGCUGUGUAGAGAAUUGUCACUGUGACCAGACAAGAGCGCAGACCUUCAAAACUUGAUGGUGUAGUUCAUUUUCUAAUACAAUGUAAGCCAAAUUAUUUGCCUGGGCGCAUGCCUCUACAGAGCGUAUUGAUAAGACUAGACGUAGGGCUGUGUAGAGAAUUGUCACUGUGACCAGACAAGAGCGCAGACCUUCAAAACUUGAUGGUGUAGUUCAUUUUCUAAUACAAUGUAAGCCAAAUUAUUUGCCUGGGCGCAUGCCUCUACAGAGCGUAUUGAUAAGACUAGACGUAGGGCUGUGUAGAGAAUUGUCACUGUGACCAGACAAGAGCGCAGACCUUCAAAACUUGAUGGUGUAGUUCAUUUUCUAAUACAAUGUAAGCCAAAUUAUUUGCCUGGGCGCAUGCCUCUACAGAGCGUAUUGAUAAGACUAGACGUAGGGCUGUGUAGAGAAUUGUCACUGUGACCAGACAAGA